rnacentral:rRNA from 1 species
CUAAGAGAUGGACCUGCGUUGUAUUAGCUAGUUUGNUGAGGUAACGGCUCACCAAGGCGACGAUACAUAGCCGACCUGAGAGGGUGAUCGGCCACACUGGGACUGAGACACGGCCCAGACUCCUACGGGAGGCAGCAGUAGGGAAUCUUCGGCAAUGGGGGCAACCCUGACCGAGCAACGCCGCGUGAGUGAAGAAGGUUUUCGGAUCGUAAAGCUCUGUUGUAAGAGAAGAACGAGUGUGAGAGUGGAAAGUUCACACUGUGACGGUAACUUACCAGAAAGGGACGGCUAACUACGUGCCAGCAGCCGCGGUAAUACGUAGGUCCCGAGCGUUAUCCGGAUUUAUUGGGCGUAAAGCGAGCGCAGGCGGUUAGAUAAGUCUGAAGUUAAAGGCUGUGGCUUAACCAUAGUACGCUUUGGAAACUGUUUAACUUGAGUGCAGAAGGGGAGAGUGGAAUUCCAUGUGUAGCGGUGAAAUGCGUAGAUAUAUGGAGGAACACNCGGUGGCGAAAGCG